GACGGAGGGUGCGAGCGUUAAUCGGAAUUACUGGGCGUAAAGCGUGCGCAGGCGGUUUCUUAAGCCAGACGUGAAAUCCCCGGGCUUAACCUGGGAACUGCGUUUGGAACUGGGAGACUAGAGUGUGUCAGAGGGAGGUGGAAUUCCGCGUGUAGCAGUGAAAUGCGUAGAUAUGCGGAGGAACACCGAUGGCGAAGGCAGCCUCCUGGGCCAAUACUGACGCUCAUGCACGAAAGCGUGGGUAGCAAACAGG
rnacentral:rRNA from 1 species